AUUUUCAUACGGACAUAACCCAAGUCUCUGCCAGCUCUAGGAGAAAUAUUAACCUACUCAAAGCAAUAAAGCAUCAAAAAAUCAAACGUCAGUGUAACUGUAUAGAAAUUGCUAUAAAAAAAAUCAAUAAAACUAAUAAGCAAAGAGAAACUACACAGGUAAAAUAAAUUUGCAUGAAGCCUUUUGAAUAGCGUAUACAACUCCUCUCUAGACACAUGUCAUAGAUAUGUAAGCAGUACAUGUGCCUUAUGUUAGCCUCCGACGGAAGAGUGUAUGGUCCACUUGUUCAGUGUUACUGCUACUCCUACUAGCCCACACUGUGCAACCAACAUUGUGUGACACCCACAAAAAAUUCAAUUGGUUGUUUCAAGGCAUUGAAUGGAACAAUAAAUUGAACAAGGAACAAAGAUGUUUCUCAAAAUCAUGUAAUCUCCACCCACGUAAUGAUUUUAGAUUCAUUUUGGGCUUGUACCUUCAACUCUAAUGAAAAUGCCACCAAAAAAAAAAAAAAUAGAUGGUUGAUGUAGGACCAGAAAAGAGACGGAGAAAAAAAGAAAUGCCUAGAGAAAGAAAAGAAAGCAAAGAGGAGAAUCUGUUGAGGGGAAAUAGAGAUAUACCAAAUCCUUAAUUCUCAAUUAUGCACACACACACACCCACACAAAAAACAAAAAAAAAA